AGGAAGUCUCAGAGCUGAGAUUCGUCUGUUCCAGCCAUCUCAGAUCUUUUUUCCCUUCCAGCUACGAUCACUCUGUCAUCUGGAAGCCAGCCCAGUGCUUGCAGCUCCCAGGGAUCCUGGAGCCAGAGGAAAUGUGUCCUGGAAGCCUGAGACCUCUUCCUCGGGAGUUGGUGACAUUCAGAGAUGUGGCUGUGGACUUAACCCAGGAGGAGUGGGCCCUCUUGGACAAUCCCCAGAAGGAGCUGUACAAGGAGGUCAUGUUGGAGAAUGCCUGGAACCUGCUCUC